rnacentral:lncRNA from 1 species
ACAGCUUCAAGUUUAUCUAAGCAAAUACACAUAUAUCAACCAAAACUUCCCACAGAAACUCAAAUUUAAGUACUAAUAAGUUCAUAAAACAAGUUAAACGAAAGAUUACAUCAAGGGAAAAAGACAAUCCAGCCAAGUAACUAUACCGAUACUCAUAUUUAAUCGAACUCAUAAAGCGAUAACCGCUUGUCGUUUGUGCUUGAGGAAUGUCUGAAGCUCUUUAUAACCACUCCUGUAAUGGUCCAGACUGAAUGUAAGCUGUCUUAUUACCUCUCUUUUCUCUUCUGACACAUCUAAGAUCAUGUUCCUUUGCUUAUCCACUUCCUUCUCAAGGUCCUUUAUCUUCAAUUUCAACUCAUCUUCUAGAUUCUUUGUUAGCUGCAUAUGUUCCUUGCUUAAUUGUUGUAAAUAGUCCUCCAUUUGUCUGAUCUGUAAAUCACGAGAACGAACCUCGGCUACGAGAUUGUUUACUGUUGCAGUAACACAAUCUACGAGAUUAAUUCUAACAUUUUUGUGAGGCUAAACCAUAAUUUUACCAUAUAUUAACUUAAUAUUUUAUAAAAUUUAGGAGAUUAAAGCAACAAUUAGAAAGAUAUAAAUCCCAACGUGUUUAAGCACAUAUUUUUUCUUUAAUUUAAAAUUAUGAAAAAAUUAUAAAUAAAAGUUAAUUAUAUUAUACUCUAAAGUCUAUUCUUUGUCAUAAAGUAUUCAACUUUUGCAGCCGACAAUAUUAAGAAAAAAAAUUUGUUCCUCCAACAAUCACUUUCUUUUAUAAUUAAAAUUUGAAUUUUGAUUUUCAAAGCCCUUAAUAUUUCAAACAAGUUGGUGGAAAUUUCCAAAUCGUCCCUUUAUUAUAAAGAUUUGUUUGAUUUAGUCUCUAUAUUAUUAAAUGAAUUGAUUUAGUCCAUGUACUAUUAAAAAGUAUCAAAUAAGGGAAAAUUGGAAAAUACUUAAAUAUUUACUAUAUAAAAAAUGUCAUUUAUUGUUUCGUAUUUUUAAAUUUUUUACGGUUCUGUAAAUGAAAUCUUGUGUUUUGAAAAAAAAAUAUUUUCAAGACAUUUUUUAUAUUGUUAACUUUGUUACAAAUUAGACAGACUUAAAUUUUUUUGAUAGUAUAGAGACUAAAUUUAUUUAUUUAAUAAUAGAAAUUUUAAUUUGGUCCAGUCCCUAUAAUACAAGGAACUCACGGGACAAACACAAUAAAUUUGAUGCUAACCUAUGAAGUUUUGAAAAUUAAUGUAUGCAAUUAUAAAAUGAUACAUGCGUAGUUGACUAUGUCAAAAUGGGAAGUAAAUGGGAUAAAUCUCAAAAUUAUACAUACAUGAACUUUAUUUUGGUGCAAUUAUAGACGUGAAACGCUAUUGUGAUUCAAAUGUAUAUUUGAAACUUUAAUUUUGAUUUAAUCAUACACAUUUAAAGAAAUAAAGUCAAGUUUUAUUUUUAUAUUGUAUAAAAAUAAUAUUUAUGUAUGCAAUAUAUAAACAUAAAAUGAUGUUAUAUCAAUAAUCAUGUUAAUAAUUUAAAAGAAUAGGAUCAAAUUAAAAUUUCAUGUAUAUAAUUGCACAUUAAAUCAUAGUUCGUAUAUAAUUUUGAAAUUUAUCCAUAAAUAAAUUAGUUAAAUUUUUAAUUGGAUUUAACCUCUCUUUUGCACAUAUUAUAAUUUAUUCAUGGAGCUUCACAAAAAAGCAUAAUCGUAAUCAAAAUCAAGAUUAUGGAGUUUAAAAUGAUAAAGUUUUUUGAAAAUCGUAAUAUUUUAGAUUUAAAUUUCAUCAUUAGUAGGUUUGAUGUUUUUAGUCUAUUAGUUCAUGAUACUAACUUGAUUAGAAAUUUUCAGUUGGAAUAAUUUGUCCACUUCAAUUGUACAAACUAUUAAAAAAACCCAUAAAUAUAUAAAUAUAUAUAUAUAUAUUCAACCAUAAAUUUAUAUCGAUUCAUAGAUCAAUCGAUCCAACUUCUUAUUUCGAACUGAUACCUCAAUUAGAAGUGUCCAUGAGACUUGCAAUAUACAUGGGGCAUCUGCACAGCUCACUCCCGAUCAAGCAAGCAUCGAAUUCUUCGAAACCGUGCAGCAUUAGUAAGGAGACAUUUUUUCAAAGUGAGGCAUAAGAAAAUUCGGAUUCUUUGUAGUCCCUCAAAUCUCCGUGCAAGGAACCAUACAGGAUCAUGUUGGUUCCAAGAGAUCUUCCUUAGUUCCUUAUAUGCACUCUUAACAGUGAAGUCACCAUCAAAUGAUUGCGAAGUAGGUCCCACUUCCAUGAGUUGUCAUUCAUCAUAUAGUGCGCACCUUCAUGAAGCAGGGAAAGCGCUAUCGAGGGCGGAACUUGAAGGUGUUCUGGUUUUUGUUGAACCUUUUUUUGUUUCAUGUCAAUGGGACCUUAUCCAAUUGGCAAUGGUGGGAAAACAAAGUUUGCCAUUUUGAUCCAUUUGUAAAGGCAAGUGACUUGGCAGUGGGGGUUUCACAGUUGAGUGGCAAGGGCUAUGGAGGCGGAAGCUUCUUUUUGUCUGUUUUUUUUUAGUUUUAUGUAAUUUCGUUGAUAGGAUAGAAUGGUUAAAGUGAUAUGUUCAGGGUGAGAAUCCAACUUGAGUAACUGUUCACCUGCACUGAAUAACUUGUAUGAUGAAUGACGAAUGAUAUAAAUGAGGUGGGGAAGAAUUUUAUUUAUAGUAAAGCUCUAUAGAUCCAAGAUUGAAUUACAUUAUGAUUCGAAUUUAAUCUUAUUUAUGACAUUGAUCCCUAAAGAAUUUAAAUUUUCUAUUAUCUUAUCCUUGAGAUUAUAAAACUACACUAGUAAAAUUCAAAUUACCCAAGCAUCUACAACUGCACCAUGUUUCAAGUAGGAUGGGCAUUCAGAAUGUUUCAAAAAUAGGAUCAAUCUCGAUAGCUUAAGCAAGCCUAAUUUAAUCAAAUGAUCUCUUUAAGUUAUUAUGUGCACAUUGAAUUUUAUUAUAAUAAAACAUAAAUUAAGUCAAUUAUAUUUUUAUAAUAAAAAUAGAUAGUGGAGAAGUGAACAAAGAAAGAAGAAUAAAAACAAAACAUUAUUUCUUCUUUAUGGUCUUGCAUGCCGAAAUGGUGAGGGAAGAAAAGGGAUUUUCGUCUAUUGUUGUUUAAGUUUGGAAGCUCAAUUUGGUUGGUAUGUUUUGUUCUUUUUUAUUAAAUUUUAUAUUUUUGGAAUCUUAAAAUCAUGUAGUAGUUUAUUCAUGUUGAAAAUUUGAGAAUUAAUGAUACUUGUGAAAAUUGUCAUCGUUGAGAUUCAAUUUCUUAGUGUUAUUUUGUUGGGUUGAAGUUAUUGAUGUAUGUAUGUUUAGUAUGGUAGAUAUUGUAUAUGGUUGAUAUUUUAAGUUGUAUGGAAUUUGGCUCUUUUGAAAGUAAAUGAUUCAGUUCAAUUUGUUGACUUGAAAUAUGUAGGAUAUGGCAUUUGAAAUUUAUGAUUCCUAAUUGUGGAGCAAGAUAAAUGUAUGUAUGACUUGAUCAAGGUUGAAUGUCUUUGUAUGUGAGUGUUUGAAAUGUGGUGCCAACGAGGGCUAUAUUGGUUAGGCUCUUAGAUUGUAUGGAAUUGACAUGUUUUGAGAUGUAUUUGAUGACAUUUAUAGUUUGGUUAUAGGCUUGGUUCGGUAGCCAAGAUAGGUGUGAAAAUUGCCUUGUUUUGGAAGCAAAAAUUGGUGUACAUUGCCAGGGACACUGGCUGUACACGGCCUACCCACAUGGUCGUGUGUCUUAAUGAUUUUAGGUGCAGGUCAUACACGGUCUAAGACACAGCUAGUGACAUGGUCGUGUGACCCAAUAUCAAAUGCACACAUGGGCAGGCGCACGGCCGUGUGACCUUAAUUCAAAUAUACACACGGGCGGACACACGGUCGUGUGUCUCGACUUCAAAUGUCCACACAGUCUGGGCUGUGACACAUGGCCGUGUGUCCCUUAUUUUCAAAAUUUUCAUCUUUUUCCUAACUUUUCUGUUUUGUUUCAAAUUGGCCCCAGAAUGUUUCCAAUUUAUUUUUAGGACUCCGUAAACUCAGUUCAAGGCCCAUAAGUGUAUGUUUAUUGUGAAUUGAUUGUGAAUUGAUUAAUUGUAAUUAUAAUGAAUAAUUGUUUUUAAGUAGUGUUAAAUGUUUGAAAUGUUAUCGUACUAUUCCGUGACUCCAAUCCGGUGACAGACACUGGUUUCUUAAGUUUAAAUUGUCUUUUAUAAAUUUUAGAUAAAUGCAUGAAAAAUACAAAAGCACUCUAUAGUAAUAUUUAUUAAUCAUUAAAACUUGAUUUUUGAAUACUUUUCUUGAUCGAGUUAGUGUUGAGCUAAGUCAUGAUACUAUCUAAAUUCAUUAUGCCAAUUCAACCAUACACUUAAAUAAUAGUAUAAAUGUUAUUGUUUAUGAAAAGAUCAAAAUAUCAAUGUUGAAUCCCAAAAUGAAAUCAACGGUUAAGAUUUGAAAUAUAAGUAGAGAUGGUAAUAGAGUGGGGCAGAAUGGUUUUUUGUCCACCUGACUUGAUACAUCUCUAACAUAAUCUGACUUUGAUCCAACUCAAAAUUAAAUAUUAAUUUACUUAUCUUGAACCUAACUCGAAAAAUCAAAGUUAUACCCAAUUUCGAACGAUAUACCACUACUUUUAAUUGUUUUUAUAUAUUUUUAUUAAAAUAGAGUAAAAGUUUUAAAGUUUUUAAUGAUAACAUUACUUUUUUUUGUAGUUAUAGUUAUGCUAGGGAAAAUAAUUUUAUAAAUUGUUAUUAUCAUAUAUUAUAAUCUAAUAUUAUAUAUAAAUGGUUAUUUUGGUAAUUACGGGGCAAAUUUUUCUAAAUCGGAGAAAGAAUUGUAUGAAAUUGUGAUUCUACCUCAUCUGUAUCCUUUUCUAAUACGAAAAUGACAAAUCAGAAUUUAAGAUCUAAUCCAUGUACUUUAAAAGUUAAAAUUUCAAUUAUCCUACUUCAACAAUUUAAAAAUUCUAGUUCAAUUAUUAUUAUUUGUAAUUUUUUUUGUCAAAAAAAAAUUAAACUUAACAUGUUUAUUUUUUUUAUCAAUCAUAUGAAAUAUUAUAUGAUGGCAAUCUAAUUAACAUGCCAAAUUGGAAAAUUUUGAUGGAAAUUAUUAACAAUAUUAAAGAUUGGAAUGAAAUUUUUAAAUCAGAAAAGUAAAAGAACCAAAUCUCAAAUAUUAUCUAAGUCAAAGGACUAACAACAUAUUUUCACAAAAGAAAUUGAUAGACUAAUUUAGGUUUUAGACUAAGCAAAUUUUACAUAUCCAACUAUAUUCAACUUGUAUAAAUAUGGAAGCUAGCAUAUAAGGAUAAUAAUUUUUCAUGGAAUCUAAGGACAAAAAAAAAUUAACAUUCUAGCAUGUAAGAAAAAGAAAUAAGCAAAUCAUAUAAAUUUUAUUACCAUAUAUUUACGGUUCAAACCUCACCAUUUUCAACCUAAAAACAUUACAUUGUUUAAACACACAAUUAAAAAGCUAAAUAAAAGUAGCAAUCAUUAACAACAACACACUGUUCUUUUGUGAAACUGAAGCAACAAUUGUCAGCAUUUAUCACAGCAUCGCUGAUUUUCUACAUUUCCAAUGAGCAAUAUAGUUGCAUCCUGGUUCUGCACAUUCAAGAGAAAGAUCUUCACAACGCUCACCACAUUCAAUACAUUCAGGGUAGUAAGGAAAUUUCUUGACAAAAGUGAGAGGGUGUGGAUGUUCUCCUUCAUUGUAGAUGCUCCCGAGUUUGAUCAAUGGAUAUUCUCCAAGAACGCAAUCCACGUGAGCAGAAGUGUCACAAGUUUCACAAUAGUAAAACCAGUUCUUUGGAUCCCUUUCUUUCUCACAAAUGUCACAAUAAUGAUAUUUUGCAUAAUCAUUAAUCUUGUCAUAAGUGAGUGCAAGAAGAUGUUUAUCGCAUUUGUGUCUAACUCUAAUUGGUCGCAGAACACACCAUGGGCAUAAAUGAAUAUUACAAUCCUUACAACGAAAAGGGCAAACGACAUCCUUCCCACAAGCACUACACUGCCCCUGAUAAUUAUAAUAGAGAAGAAGAGGGUGUUUAUGCCAUGGAAUUUUUACAACAUCUUGGAGACUUAGAGCAAAACAUCGAAGGCAUAUCGGACUUCCACAUUCAUUACAUUUAUAAGAAAAUCCAUUAGAAAGGUACAUGCAUAGACCACAUUUGAACAUGCAGGCUGAAGUAAGGAUUAAGGGUUUUAAUCCAGAAUAAAAUUCCGUUUCUCCACAAGCAUGUUUCGAAAAAAGCUUCAUCUUAGGCAAUUCAGCACAAGAUUUAUGAAGAAAGAAAUCACAUCGCGAGCAAUGGUAGAACUUAGCGGAGAUCAAUAACAAGCACCCAUCACAACAUUUAUCACCAUGCUCUCUGAUGUUGUCACUUAACAUCAAGUAGUGCAUAUGCUCGCAAUGUUCUAUGAGUGUGGCUUCUCCAGCAUCAUUCGUCUCAAGAACCUCAGUGAUGGAGUUAACAGGUAUAUCAAGAGACUUGUCAGCUUCAUUUUCCUGUGAUACUAUGCAAUACAACUGCUCUUCUUUCAAUGCACAAUCCACAUGUAAUAUAACACUGCAAUCUGCACAGAAGUAACUACCGUGCUCUGUAUGGACAACUUCAUGGCACCAUAUGCAAUUCAAACUUUCAAAAUAUUCCUUGCGAAUGAAAUACGUGUGAAAAACACGAUGAACAUGGAACGCGUGUUCGAUAAUGCGUGGCAAUGAAAUGCAUUUUUUAUGUACCAUAAUACUGCAUGUACCACAUGUAUAGGCAACAUGAUGUCCUUCAGUGCCACAAGCAUCACAAAUGAAUGGAAUUUGUCUCCAAAACAAGGUGAAUGGGUGUUGAUGACUUUUAUCUUUGAUAACUGGUAAUGGCGACGCACAUUCAAUGUGAAUAGCCAACUCACAAGGUGAACAACCAUACACAAAUCCUCUUUGUUGAGUUACUUGGCACACUUUGCAAGCAAGCCGUUCACUAUUAAAUUGCAAAACAAGAGGAUGUUUGCGAUGGCACAAAAGAUCCAUUUUGAGAGGAAGCUCAGCACACCUCUUAUGCAAAUUAAACCCACAAUCAAGAGAGAAGUAUGUAUACAUUGCUAAUGGUUCCCAACACCCAAAGCACUCACCCAGGUUUCCACCAUCGUUUUUAGAGGAAAACGAUGGAUCCUCAAGGGCAACAUGCUCAAGCUCUUUCAAAUUACUUUCAGCAAUGUUAAAUGUUAACAAAGCACAUUUAAUAUGAAAGUACAAGCCACAAGAGCAAUGGUAAAUGAAUUUCUCACAUGUUUCAUCACAUAAAUCACAAACGCACCUUGUGUAAGAAGAUGGUGGAUUCUGCAAAAGCACGAGAGGAUGGUGGCGAUGAAAAGGAUGAUUAAGCUCUAAAGGUGCCUCGGCACAUGUCUUGUGGAGGUAAAACCCACAGCACUCCACGCAGCUAAAACAUGGAGCUGACACCUUCUCCCCACACCUUGAGCAAUCAACAACUCCAUUGCCAUUGCCAAGCAACUGCUCUUCAUUUAACAUUAUUGGAAAUUGGCCAACCAUGCUGCUGUUACAUUUUGUGGUUGAAGUGCAUGCAGCUUGAUGACAUGCUGCAGCACAUAUGCUUGCUGUAACAGCAAGGUUUCUGAUGAAGUUGGUACAGCAUACAGCAAACUCAACAGCAUGCAGGCCAUCAAGACCAAGUCAUGCAGGAGCUGCUGGAACGAGCUGAACUAUUCCUAUUUUGUUCAACUUGUAAUCUUAAGUUAAUGUAAUGUACUUUAGUUCAUUUAGAACUAUGUUAGGUUUAUGAUUGAUGUAUUUUGAUGACAAUUAAGCUGUUAAGUCAGCUUUGUUUAAGUGUGCAAGCUUAGUUUUUCAAGUUUCAAUGUAUUAGUGGUAGUAGGUGAUGAUUAGGUAUCAUUAUGCAGAUUUUGACAAGCAAAUUGCUUGGUUUUAUGUAUUGGCAUUAUGCCAUUGUUCAACUAAUGAAUAGAAUCAGUUUUUGUUCAUCAUUUUUCCUCUCCAUUCUCUUAGCUUUUUCUUUCUUUCUUCUGGCUUGAAUUUCUCUUGUUUGCUCAGCAAGUCUCGAGACUUGGUUGACAAGAUAUUGCUGAGGCUGCUUGAUUCUGUUAUUGCACCAACAAUUGGUAUCUAGAGCCUGUUUCUUAAGGGAUCUGUUACUCAAUUCCAUGGCUUCAUCAAGCUUUUCACCAGCUGCACCUCAAGUCUUCAAUGGAGAAGGCUAUCACAUAUGGGUGGUCAAAAUGAAGACCUACCUGCAGGCUUUCGAUCUGUGGGAGGUGGUCAACUUUGAUGUUGAACCAGAGCCACUUAGAGCUAAUCCAACAGUGGCUCAGAUCAGGCAGCAUGCUGAUGAAAGGACCAAGAGGCACAAAGCUAUGUCUUGCAUCCAAAACUCAGUGUCUGAUGUGAUUUUCACAAGGAUUAUGGCCUGUGAAUCACCAAAACAGGCCUGGGAUAAGUUGCAGGAAGAGUUUCAAGGGACAGAGAGGACAAGGCAGCAACAGUUGUUAAACUUGAGGAGAGAUUUCGAGAAUUUGAAGAUGAAGGAAGAAGAAACUGUCAAGCAAUAUUCUGACAGGAUUAUGGCUGUGGUUAACAGCAUCAGGCUCCUUGGAGAGCAGUUCAAUGAAGCUAGGAUAGUGGAGAAGGUUAUAGCAACUCUGCCUGAGAGGUAUGAGGCAAAAAUCUCAUCUCUCGAGGACUCAAGGGAUCUGUCCACCAUCUCCCUGACAGAGUUGAUCAAUGCUCUAUAUGCUCAAGAGCAGAGGAGAGCAAGCAGACUGGAGGAGCACCAAGAAGGUGCCUUUCAGGCAAGAGCAAAUACUGCCUACAAAGGCAAGAAGGCCUGGAGAGACAAGCCAAAGAAUGAUGCUGCAAGGAGAGAAGGUCAGACUUGCAAGCACUGUAGAAAGGCUGGUCAUUCAGAAGAAAAAUGCUGGUUCAAUCCAGAUGCUGUAUGUCAGCAUUGUAAGAAGAAGGGUCAUGUUGAGAGAGUCUGCAAGAGUAAGACCAAAUCGAGGCAGAAUCAGUUUCAACAGAUGAAAGCUGAGGCUCGAGUAGCAAAGGAGGACAGUGACCAAGAGGAGCAAGUCUUUGCUGUGUCAUGCUCAGCUGCUCAGGAAAGGUCCUCAUCUGGUUGGCUCCUAGACAGUGGAUGCACCAACCACAUGACACCUGAUGCCGCAAUCUUCAAGUCUUUAGACAGAAGCUGCAGAACUAAAGUCAAGAUAGGAAAUGGUCAUUUUAUCCAAGCUGAAGGCAAGGGUGAUGUGCUGAUAUGCACACUUACAGGUACCAAAGUGAUUUCAAAUGUGCUGUUGGUGCCUGAAAUUGACAGAAACCUGCUCAGCAUAGCUCAGUUGCUGGAAAAAGGUUAUUCAGUUGUGUUUAAAGACCACCAGUGCCAAAUCAGUGAUCCAAGUGGAUCCAAACUGAUGGCAGUCCCUAUGGCUGAUAAGAGCUUUGUGGUUGACUGGACAAAAAAGUCAGACAUUGCCUACACAGCCACUUCAGAUGAAUCCAAGCUGUGGCAUCAAAGAUUGGGACAUGCCAACUUCAGAUCGAUGGCUCGAAUGGUCAGAGAGGACCUGGCUGAAAAUUUCAUCAACUCAGUGGACCAUGAUGAUGUAUGUGAUGUAUGUCAGCUAGGAAAGCAGGCCAGACUCCCAUUUCCCUCGAAUCAAGCCUGGAGAGCCUCUGAAAAACUCCAACUGGUGCAUACUGAUGUGUGUGGCCCUAUGAAGACUGAGUCAUUAAGUGGAAACAGGUAUUUCAUACUGUUCAUUGAUGAUUUCUCGAGAUAUUGCUGGAUUUACUUUUUAAAACAGAAAUCAGAAGUGGCCUCAGUGUUUUGGAAGUUCAAGACUGCUUCUGAGACUGAAACAGGCUGCAAGCUGAAGACCAUAAGGUCUGAUAAUGGGACUGAGUACACCUCAGCUCAGUUCCAAGCCUUCUGUGAUAAGGCAGGCAUCAAACAUCAACUUACCAACACAUAUACACCUCAGCAGAAUGGGGUAAGUGAAAGGAAGAAUAGGAGUUUGAUGGAUAUGGCCAGGUGCUUGAUGAUUCAGAAGAAUCUGCCUAAAGCACUAUGGGCAGAAGCAGUUAACACUGCAACAUACAUUCAAAAUAGACUUCCAACCAAGGCUUUGGAUCAAAAGACCCCAUUCGAGGCCUGGUUUAGUUUCAAGCCAUCACUGGCUCAUCUGAAGGUCUUUGGAUGCAUCUGUUAUGCACAUGUACCUGCUGUUAAAAGGGACAAAUUGUCUGAAAGGGCUCGACCUGGUGUUUUGGUGGGGUAUAGCACUGUUAAGAAGGGCUAUAGGAUUUUAGAUCCUUCAACAAACAAAGUGUCAAUAAGCAGGGAUGUGGUAUUUGAUGAGAGGUCAUGUUGGAACUGGGAAAGACAUGAACCUGAAGAAGUUUCUGAAGAACUUGCAGUAGACCAAGCUGAGCCAGACCAAAAUGUCCCUGAAAUGGAUAUAGAUGAUGAACCAGUCAGAGGAACAAGGUCAUUGACUGAGGUUUAUGAAAGGGCUCAUGUAGCCAUAACUGAGCCAAGCAACUUUGAAGAGGCUGAGGCUCAACAAGGGUGGAAGCAGGCAAUGGCUGAGGAGAUCAGCAUGAUUGAGAAGAACCAGACCUGGAAAUUGGUUGAAAGGCCAGUCAAAAGGAAGGUGAUUGGGGUGAAAUGGGUGUACAAAGCCAAGCAGAAUGCUGAUGGUACCUUGAACAAGUUAAAAGCAAGGCUAGUGGUCAAGGGGUUCAGUCAAAGGUAUGGCUUGGACUAUUUGGAGACCUUUGCACCAGUGGCCAGGCUCGACACCAUCAGACUGCUGAUUGCCUUAGCUGCACAGCUCGAAUGGAAGAUUCAUCAACUUGAUGUGAAAUCAGCCUUUCUGAAUGGUUUCUUAGAUGAAGACAUCUAUGUUGAACAACCACAAGGGUUUGAAAUAGCUGGCAGAGAGCAUAUGGUCUACAAAUUGAAGAAGGCCCUAUAUGGCUUAAAACAGGCUCCAAGGGCCUGGUACAGCAGAAUCGAUGGCUACUUGACUGAUCUGGGAUUCAAUCGAAGCAAGAGUGAGCCAACACUAUAUGUCAAGAAGCAAGGGACACAAACACAACUCAUUGUGUCCCUAUAUGUUGAUGACCUGCUGGUGACAGGAGGAGAUCAAGCAGUGCUGGUUAAUUUCAAGACCAAGAUGCAAGAAGUGUUUGAAAUGUCUGAUCUUGGGGAGAUGUCCUAUUUUCUUGGAAUGGAGGUGACUCAAGCACAGAAUGGGAUAUUUUUAAGUCAGAAGAGCUUUGCCACAAAGAUUCUGACCAAGUUCUCCAUGCAAAACAGCAAACCAACUAAAACACCUGUUGCUGUUGGAGAAAAACUAUCGAGCCAAGGAGAUUUUGAGAAGGUAUGUGAAACUACCUACAGGAGUCUAGUUGGUUGUUUGCUAUACUUGACUGCCACUAGACCAGACAUAAUGUAUGCUGUAGGAUUGCUCUCAAGGUUCUUGCAUUGUUGCAAUGAGAAGCAUUUCCAGGCUGCCAAGAGAGUGCUCAGAUAUGUCAAAGGCACUUUGGACUAUGGCUUAAGGUACAGCAGGAAAGGAAAUCUAAAUCUAGUUGGGUACACUGAUAGUGACUGGGCUGGAUCAAUAGAUGACAUGAAAAGCACCUCAGGGUAUGCUUUUAACCUUGGUUCAGCCAUGUUCUGCUGGAGCUCUAAGAAGCAAAGUCUGGUGGCACAAUCUACUGCUGAAGCAGAGUAUGUGGCAGCAGCAAGUGCUGUCAACCAAGCCAUUUGGCUUAGGAAAAUCCUGGCUGAUUUGAAUAUGGAUCAAAUGAAAGCAACAGAGAUCUUCUGUGACAAUCAAUCUGCAGUUGCAAUUGCUAAAAAUCCAGUGUUCCAUGGUAGAACAAAACAUUUCAGCAUCAAGUUACAUGUUGUUCGAGAAAUGGAGCAAGCUCAGGAAAUAAAGCUGAUCCACUGUAAUUCAGAGGAUCAACUUGCUGACAUUUUAACCAAAGCUCUUAGUGUCACAAGGUUUGAAUAUCUAAGAAAGAUGCUAGGUGUUUGCUCCAUGCAAACCAAGGAGGAGUGAUGAAGUUGGUACAGCAUGCAGCAAACUCAACAGCAUGCAGGCCAUCAAGACCAAGUCAUGCAGGAGCUGCUGGAACGAGCUGAACUAUUCCUAUUUUGUUCAACUUGUAAUCUUAAGUUAAUGUAAUGUACUUUAGUUCAUUUAGAACUAUGUUAGGUUUAUGAUUGAUGUAUUUUGAUGACAAUUAAGCUAUUAAGUCAGCUUUGUUUAAGUGUGCAAGCUUAGUUUUUCAAGUUUCAAUGUAUUAGUGGUAGUAGGUGAUGAUUAGGUAUCAUUAUGCAGAUUUUGACAAGCAAAUUGCUUGGUUUUAUGUAUUGGCAUUAUGCCAUUGUUCAACUAAUGAAUAGAAUCAGUUUUUGUUCAUCAUUUUUCCUCUCCAUUCUCUUAGCUUUUUCUUUCUUUCUUCUGGCUUGAAUUUCUCUUGUUUGCUCAGCAAGUCUCGAGACUUGGUUGACAAGAUAUUGCUGAGGCUGCUUGAUUCUGUUAUUGCACCAACAGUUUCUCUUUAGUUUCAUUCUAAUUAAUCUAGUUUAAAAUGGACAAGUUGAUGACAACUUGAUGCAUUAGGUGUUGAAUGACUAGUUUAGGUGGCUUGUUUAUGUGUACAAGCAAUGUUUUAAUAGUCCCAAUGCUGAUUAGUGGAGUUAGGUAGUUGAUUAGGUGAUUACUUGUUUGUUUUACUUAUUGACUGAUAUAUGUAAUGGCUUAAUGCCUUGUUGUAAUGCUAAUGAAAGAUAUCAGCUCUUUUUCAUUCAAUCUUCUUCUCUCUUUCUGUUUUUUCACUUGCUAGUUUCAUCUUUCUGUUUUCUGCUUCCGAGCUUGCUUCUUCACCAAGGCUUGAGACUUACUACUCAAGCAAGACUUGAAACAGCUUGUUGCUGCCUCUUGCACCAAUAAUUGGUAUCAUGAGCCUAUGUCUUACGGGACCAUUGAUUUUGCUUCCCCUGCUUGUUAAAAAGAAAGAAGCUGUCAAAGCGCAAGCAAGUCAUUAAGGACUGCUUGUAGAGAAGAUAAUAUCGGCUCAAACUUAUAAGAUCCCCAAACUAGCUUGAAUAAGCUGAAGGAGGAGUUUAAAGGAAAGGUGUGAGCUUUCCAAAUGUGCAAGCUUAGCAAGAUGUCAAAGCUGCAAGCUUAGCAAAGUGCGAGCCUGAUGAAGACACCUGUUGAAGACAAUAUGCAAAGAUGUGAGUCUGUCAAAGGUGUGAGCUCAGCAACAUGUGGAAGCUCAAUGCGUGUUGUAUAGUUGCAAGCCUCUUGAAGACAGUAAGCAAAGUGUGAGCCUGUCGAAUUGCAAGCCAAAAUGGCAGAAUGAAGGCAAGCAACUAUACUCACGAACUGUUUGUGCAAGAAGAAAAUGAAUUGGUCAGCUUGAAUCAAAGCAUCUAAGAGCUGCCAAGUUCAAAAAACUUGAUGAAUGACUGGUAUUUGCAGCAUGGAGUCCAAGGAGGAGUAUUGGAAAUUGGCCAACCAUGCUGCUGUUACAUUUUGUGGUUGAAGUGCAUGCAGCUUGAUGACAUGCUGCAGCACAUAUGCUUGCUGUAACAGCAAGGUUUCUCUUUAGUUUCAUUCUAAUUAAUCUAGUUUAAAAUGGACAAGUUGAUGACAACUUGAUGCAUUAGGUGUUGAAUGACUAGUUUAGGUGGCUUGUUUAUGUGUACAAGCAAUGUUUUAAUAGUCCCAAUGCUGAUUAGUGGGGUUAGUUGACUAUUUGGUGAUGUAUUUGACUAUAAAUGUAUGUUUUUUCUAGUUGAAUGAAUGAGCUGAAUGAGCUAUCAGCCAUUAGCUCCCUUGCUGCACAUUUGUGAGCAAGUAAAAAUGCUUCUUGCACCUUGCUUCAUGUUCUGUGCUCUUGUUCUCUCUUUUGUUGCUGCCUCUUGCACCAACAAACAUCAACAGUGGAUGUUGAUGCCCAUAGUUCUUUAGCUCUUCCAUUUCUCCUUUCUCUCUGUCUCUUUCGAUGUGGUAGAGAAAGAAAAAUUGAAAUUGAAUAACUCAAAGAAAGCAGAAAAUUAGAAGGGAGAGAUUCCAAAUGUUUAUUUGUAGGAGUCUGUUUGAACUUGCUAUGCUACUUUGCUUCAACAGUGGGUUGCCUAUACCUAUAUAUGUUUGAUCUUCUUUAUAAUUUCCAUGAAUGGGAUGCAAUGGGUUUGAGUGUACUCUAAGUAAAUUAUCAUUUUUUUUCCUUUAUUCUUUGCUUUGUGGAUUAGCUAAUUUUGUGGAUUAGAUAAUGAAUAUUCUGAUAUUGUUUGUGUGUAAAAAAAAAUACGAUAUCAUGAUGAAAGGUAAAGGUAUUUUUACAAGUUACGAAUUUUUCAAUUGAGAAUGAUAUCAAACAAUCAAAUUAUUCUAAAAAAAUUGAAUUAAAUCAUUUAUCUAAUCGAAAAUUAAAAACCUAUUUAAUUUAUUCUGGUGAGAAUAAAAAAAUUUGAACAAAGCUAGAUAGAUUAAUUAUACAAUUACCGAGCCACCAAUCGGCUCUCUUAGGAUAAUCUGUUACAGAAAUUACUCUAACUCCCUUGGUAUUUGCUCAACCACUUCAAUCCCAAUGGGGUCAUCGUUCAUUAAAGUAACCAUAUAAGUAGAUGUGAAUGAGACAUCUUUAUUGUAGGAAUGAUCCAUAUUCACUGUCCUGCAGUACAAACUGAAUCUACAAGCUAAUGAUAGAAACAUAAACCAAAAUAUAUAGUACAUUGUUUGAUUAAAAUUGAAAACAUGGUUCAUAUUUGUCCAUUGCAAUAUUCAGAUGUUCAAUGACAUGCAAAAGAUAUAUAUAUAUAUAGUCUAAUGACAGCUUGAAGUUUAUCUAAGCAAAUACACAUAUAUCACCCAAAACUUCCCACAGAAACUCAAAUUUAAGUACUAACAAGUUCAUAAAACAAGUUAAACGAAAGAUUACAUCAAGGGAAAAAGACAAUCAAGACAAGUAAAUAUACUGAUACUCCUAUUUAAUCGAACUCAAAGCGAUAACCGCGUGUCGUUCGUGCUUUAGGAAUGUCUGAAACUCUUUAUAACCACUCCUGUAAUGGUCCAGACUGAAUGUACGCUGUCUUAUUACCUCUCUUUUCUCUUCAGACACAUCUAAGAUCAUGUUCCUUUGCUUAUCCACUUCCUUCUCAAGGUCCUUUUUCUUCAAUUUCAACUCAUCUUCUAGAUUCUUUGUUAGCUGCAUAUGUUCCUUGCUUAAUUGUUGUAAAUGGUCCUCCAUUUGUCUGAUCCGUAAAUCACAAGAACGAACCUCGGCUACGAGAUUGUUUACUGUUGCAGUAACACAAUCUUUGUCUGUCAUAAGCAUAUCAUAUUUCAAUUUCAUUUUGUCAAGGUUCUUAUUCAAAGCUUCUAUGUGUAUACCUUUCUCAUUAAGUUCUGUCUUCAAUUGAUUGAUCUGACCUUGUAAGUUGGUUUCUUGUACAACAAGCAAGCUUUCGAUUUCCGAAUUUUUGGUCUCACGCUGCCUUAUUUUUUCCUCCAAUACACUUCCAAGCAGGGAAAGCGCUAUCGAGGGCGGAACUUGAGGGUGUUCUGGUUUUUGUUGAACCUUUUUUGUUUCAUGUCAAUGGCACCUUAUCCAAUUGGCAAUGGUGGGAAAACAAAGUUUGCCAUUUUGAUCCAUUUGUAAAGGCAAGUCACUUGGCAGUGGGGGUUUCGCAGUUGAGUGGCAAGGGCUACAGAUGAGGCAGGAAAUACUUUUAUUUAUAGUUGAGCUCCGUAAAUUCAACAAUAUAACAAUAUUAUUACAUUAUCAGUUCGGAUUUAAUCUUAUUUAUAACAUUGAUCCCUAAAGAAUUUAAAUCUUCUAUUAUCUUAUCCUUAAGAUUAUAAAAUUACACUAGUAAAAUACAAGUUACCAAAACUUCUACAAGUGCACAAUGUUUCAAGUAGGAUGAGCUUUCAGAAUGUUUCAAAAAUAGGACCAAUCUCGGUGGCUUAAGUAAACCUAAUUUAAUCAAAUGAUCUCUUUUUUAAGUUGUUAUGUGCACAUUGGAUUUUAUUAUAAUAAAAUAUAAAUUAAGUCAAUUAUAUUUCUAUAAUAAAAAUAGAUAGCGGAGAAGUUAAUAAAAGAAAGAAGAAUAAAAACAAAACAUUAUUUCUUCCUUAUGGUCUUGCAUGCCGAAAUGGUGAGGGAAGAAAAGGGAUUUUCGGCCAUUGUUGUUUAAGUUUGGAAGCUCAGGUUUUGGUUCUUUUUUAUUAAAUUUUAUAUUUUUGGAACUUUAAAAUCAUGUAGUAGUUUAUCUAUGUUGAAAAUUUGAGAGUUAAUGAUAUUUGUGAAAAUUAUCAUUGUUGAGAAAUUUAAAUUCUUGGUGUUAUUUUGUUGAUGUAUGUGUGUGUUGGAUGGUAGAUAUUGUAUAUGGUUGAUAUUUUAAGUUCUAUGGAAUUUGGCUCUUUUUGAAGUAAAUGAUUGAGGUCAAUUUGUUGAGUUGAAAUAUGUAGGAUAUGGCAUUUGAAAUUUAUGAUUCCUAUUUGUGGAGCAAGAUGAAUGUAUGAUUUGGUUAAGGUUGAAUGCCUUUGUAUGUGAUGUUUGAAAUGUGGUGCUAAUGAGGGCUAUGUUGGUUAGGUUCUUAGAAUGUAUGAAAUUGAUAUGUUUUGACUUGUUUUGAGGUGUAUUUGAUGACAUAUAUAGAGUGGUUAUAGGUUUGGUUUGGUAGCCAGAUAGGUGUGAAAUUUGCCCUGUUUUGGAAGCAAAAAUUGGUCCACGUGGCCUGGGGUAUAGGCUGUACAAAGCCUACUCACAAGGCCGUGUGUCUUAAUGAUUUUAGGUGCAGGGCAUACAUAGUCUAAGACACAACCAGCGACCAACAAAUGCACAUACGGGCAGUCACACGGCCAUGUGACCUUAAUUUGAAUAUACACACGGGCGAACACACGGUCGUGUGUCUGACUUUGAAUGUCCACACGGUCUGAGUUGUUACAUACAACCGUGUGUCCCUUAUUUUUCAAAAUUUUCAUCUUUUUUCUAACUUUUCCAUUUUGUUUCAAAUUGACCUCAGAAUAUUUCUAAUUUAUUUUUAGGGUCCCGUAAACUCAGUUUAAGGCCUGUAAGUGUAUGUUUAUUGUGAAUUGAUUGUGAUUUGAUUAAUUUUAAUUAUAUUGAAUAAUUGCUUUUAAGUAGUGUUAAAUGUUUGAAAUGUUAUCGUAAUACUCCGUGACUUCAAUUCGACGACAGGCACUCUUUAGGGGAGUUAAGUUUAAAUUGUCUUUUAUAAAUUUUAUAUAAAUGCAUGAAAAAUACAAAAAGAAACACUCUAUAAUAAUAUUUAUUAAUCAUUAAAAAUUAGUUUUUUAAUACUUUUCUUGAUCGAGUUAGUGUCGAGUUAACCAAUGAUACAGUCUAAAUUCAUGACUCCAAUUCAAUCAUACACUUAAAUAAUAAUAUAAAUGUUAUUGUUUAUGAGAAGAUCAAAAUAUCAAUGUUGAAUCCGAAAAUGAAAACAACGGUUAAGAUUUGAAAUAUAAGUAGAGAUGGUAAUGGAGUGGGGCGGAAUGGUUUUUUGUCCACCCGAACUGAUAUACCUCUAACAUAAUCCGAUUUUGAUCCAGCUCAAAAUUAAAUAUUAAUUUACUUAUCUUGAACCUGACUCGAAAAAUCAAAGUUAUACCCUAUUUCGAUUGAUAUACCAAUACUUUUAAUUGUUCUUAUAUUUUUUUUAUUAAAAUAGAAUAAUAGUUUUAAAGUUUUUAAUGAUAAAAUUACUUUUUUUUUGGUAGUUAUAGUUAUGGUAGGGAAAAUAUUUUUAUAAUUAUCAUAUAUUAUAAUCUAAUAUUAUAUAUAAAUGGUUAUUUUGGUAAUUACGGGGCAAAUUUUUCUAAAUCGGAGAAAGAAUUGUAUGAAAUUGUGAUUCCACAUUAUCUGUAUCAUUUUCUAAUACGAAAAUGACAAAUCAGAAUUUAAGAUUAAAUCCAUGUACUUUAAAAGUUAAAAUUUCAAUUAUUCUACUUCUACGAUUUAAAAAUUCAAUUCAAUUAUUAUAAUUUGUAAUUUUUUGUCAAAAAAUUUAACUUAACAUCAUAUGAAAUGUUAUAUGAUAGCAGUCUAAUCAACAUGCCAAAUUGGAAUAUUUUGAUGGAAAUUAUUAACAAUGUUAAAGACUGGAAUGAAAUUUUUAAAUUAGAAAAGUAAGAUAACUAAAUUCGAAAUUUUAGCUAAGUCAAAGGGACUAACAACAUAUUUUCACAAAAGAAAUUGAUAGACUAAUUUAGGUUUUAGACUAAGCAAAAUUUUCAUUUCCAACUAUAUUCAACUUGUAUAAAUAUGGGAGCUAGCAUAUAAGGAUAAUAACUUUUCAUGGAAUCUAAGGACAAAAAAUAAUUAACAUACUAGCAUGUAAGAAAAAGAAGAAAUAAGCAAAUCAUAUUAAUUUUAUUAUCAUAUAUUUACAGUUCAAACCUCACAAUUUUCAACCUUAAAACAUUACAUUGAUUAAACACACAACUAAAAAGUAUCAAGCUUUAAGAACAACCACAUACUUUUUUUGUGAAACUGAAGCCGCAAUUUUCAGCACCUACCACGGAUUGUUGAUUUUCUGCAUUCCCAAUGAGCAAUAUACUUGCAUUCUGGUUCUGCACAUUCAAGAAAAAGAUCUUCACAAGGUUUACCACAUUCAACACAUUCAGGGUAAUAAGGAAAUUUCUUGACAAAAGUGAGAGAGUGUGGAUGGUUUCCCUCAUUGUAGGUGCUCCCGAGUUUGAUGAAUGGAUAUUUUCCAAGAACGCAAUCCACGUGAGCAGAAGUGUCACAAGUUUCACAAUGAUAAAACCAGUUCUUUGAAUCCCUUUCCUCCUCGCAAAUGUCACAAUAAUGAUAUUUUGUAUAAUCAUUAAUCUUGUGAUAAGUGAGGUUAAGAGGAUGAUCAUCGCAAUUGUGUCCGACUCUAGUUGGUCGCAUAACACAAUUAAGGCAUAAACCAAAGUUACAAUCCUUACAACGAUAUGUGUUACUGAGAUCCGUCCCACAACCACUACACUGCUUUUCAAAAUUAUAAUAAUCAUAAUAGAAAAGAAGAAGGUGUUUAUGCCCUGGAAUUUUUACAGCAUAAGGGAGAGUUGCACAUCGAACGCACCUGUGAAUUCCACAUUCAUUACAUUUAUAAGAAAACCCAUUAGAAAGGUACGUGCAUUGCUCACAUUCGAACAUGCAGUCUGAAGUAAGGAUGAAGGGUUUUGAUCCAGAAAAAAGCUUUCCAACACAACGAUGAUCCCAAAUAAGGUCCAUCUUAGGUAAUUCAGCACAAGAUUUAUGAAGAAAGAAAUCACACCGCAAGCAAUGGUAGAACUUAGCGGAGAUCAAUAACAGGCACCCAUCACAACAUUUAUCACCAUGCUCGCUGAUUUUGUCACUUAACAUCAAGUAGUGCUUAUGCUUGCAAUGUUCUAUGAGUGUGGCUUCUCCAGCAUCAUUCGUCUCAAGAAACUUAGUGAUGGAGUUAACAGGUAUAUCAAGAGACUUGUCAUCUUCAUUUUCCUGUGAUACUAUGCAAUACCACUCCUUUUCUUUUAAUGCACAAUUCACAUGGAAUAUAACAUUACAAUCUGCACAGAAGUAACUACCGUGCUCUGUAUCGACAACUUCAUGGCACCGUAUGCAAUUCAAACUUUCAGAAUAUUCCUUGUGAAUGAAAUACGUGUGAAAAACACGAUGGACAUGGAACACGUGUUGGAUAAUGCUUGGCAAUGAAAUGCAUUUUUUAUGGACCAUAAUACUGCAUGUACAACAUGCAUAGGCAACAUGAUGUCCUUCGGUGCCACAAGCAUCACAAAUGAAUGGAAUUUGUCUCCAAAACAAGGUGAAUGGGUGUUGAUGACUUUUAUCUUCAAUAACUGGUAAUGGCGAUAAACAAUCAAUAUGAAUAGCCAAAUUACAAGUUGAGCAACCAUACAGAAAGCCUCUUUGUUGGGUUACUUGGCAUAUCUUGCAAGAAAGCUGUUCACUAUUAAAUUGCAGAAGAAGAGGAUGUUUGCGAUGGCACACAUGACCCAUUUUGGCAGGAAGCUCAGCACAUUUCUUAUGCAAAUUAAACCCACAAUCAAGAGAGAAGUAUGUAUAAAUUGCUAAUGGUUCCCAACACGCAAAGCACUUACCCAGGUUUCCACCAUCGUUCUUAGAGGAAAACGAUGGAUCCUCAAGGGCCACAUGCUCAAGCUCUUUCAAAUUUCUUUCAGCAAUAUUAAAUGUAAACAAAGCACAUUUAAUAUGAAAUUUCAAGCCACAAGAGCAAUGGUAAAUGAAUUUCUCACAUGUUUCAUCACAGAAAUCGCAAACGCACCUUGUGUAAGAAGAUGGUGGAUUCUGCAAAAGCAGGAGAGGAUGGUGGCGAUGAAAAGGAUGAUUAAGCUCCAAAGGUGCCUGGGCACACGUCUUGUGGAGGUAAAACCCACUGCACUCCACACAGCUAAAACAUGGAGCUGACACCUUCUCCCCACACCUUGAGCAAUCAACAACUCCAUUGCCAUUGCCAAGCAACUGCUCUUCAUUUAACAUCAACAGUGGAUGUUGAUGCCCGUAGUUCUUUAGCUCUUCCAUUUCUCCUUCCUCUCUGUAUCUUUCGAUGUGGUAGAGAAAGAAAAAUUGAAAUUGAAUAACUCAAAGAAAGCAGAAAAUUAGAAGGGAGAGAUUCCAAAUGUUUAUUUGUAGGAGUCUCUUUGAACUUGCUAUGGUACUUUGCUUCGACGGUGUGUUGCCUAUACCCAUAUAUGUUUCUUCUUUAUAAUUACUAUGAAUGGGAUGCAAUGGGUUUGAGUGUACUCUAAGUAAAUUAUCAAUUUUUUUCCUUUAUUCUUUGCUUUGUGGAUUAACUAAUUUUGUGGAUUAGAUAAUGAAUAUUCUGAUAUUGUUUGUGUGUAAAAAUAUAAGAUAAUAAGAUGAAAGGUAUUUUUAUAGGUUACGAGUUUUUCAAUUGAGAAUGAUAUCAAACAAUCAAAUUAUUCUAAAAAAAAUUGAAUUAAACCAUUUAUCUAAUCGAAAAUUAAAAGCCUAUUUAAUUUAUUCUGGUGAUUAGAAUAAAAAAAAUUUGAACAAAGCUAGAUAGAUUAAUUAUACAAUUACCGAGCCACCAAUCGGCUCUCUUAGGAUAAUCUGCUACAGAAAUUACUCUUAACUCCCUUGGUAUUUGCUCAACCACUUCAAUCCCAAUGGGGUCAUCGUUCAUUAAACUAACCAUAUAAUUAGAUGUGAAUGAGACAUCUUUAUUAUAGGAAUGAUCCACAUUCGCUGUCCUGCAGUACAAACUGUUGGAACACUGGCAGCAACAACCAAACAAUGAAACACUAAGAGCAUAAGCUCUUCAAACAGCAAGCAGAAACACAAAGCAUCAAGAGCAUAAGCUCUCGGUUAACAGGCAGAAAAAAGAAAAAGAAAGAACAAUGGCAGCAGCUCUUAGAAAAAGAACAAAACAGAGAACAAAGGAGGAAGAAACAAAAAUAAUUUACUUGCUCACAAACGUGCAGCCUAGUAACUUUAAAAACAUUUAUAGCCAACCACAUCAGUUAUUACUACCUAAUACCACUAAGUAGCCUAGUAACUUUAAAAACAUUGCUUGUACACAUGGAUAAGCUGACUUAUCAGCUCAACCAACCCAUCAAAACAUCAACAUCAAAGUUCAUUCUCAACCAAACUAAAUUACAGAAUCAUCAUAGUACCAUGCAUUUUAACAAAAACAUAAUAGCAGCAUGGUUGGCCAUUUUUAACACAAACUGAAUCUACAAGCUAAUGAUAGAAACAUAAACCAAAAUAUAUAGUACAUUGUUUGAUUAAAAUUGAAAACAUGGUUCAUAUUUGUCCACUGUAAUGUUCAGGUGUUCAAUAACAUGCAAAAGAUAUAUAUAUAUAGUCUAAUGACAGCUUCAAGUUUAUCUAAGCAAAUACGAAUAUAUCACCCAAAACUUCCCACAGAAACUCAAAUUUAAGUACUAAUAAGUUCAUAAAACAAGUUAAACGAAAGAUUACAUCAAGGGAAAAAGACAAUCCAGACAAGUAACUAUACCGAUACUCAUAUUUAAUCGAACUCAUAAAGCGAUAAACGCUUGUCGUUUGUGCUUGAGGAAUGUCUGAAGCUCUUUAUAACCACUCCUGUAAUGGUCCAGACUGAAUGUAAGCUGUCUUAUUACCUCUCUUUUCUCUUCUGACACAUCUAAGAUCAUGUUCCUUUGCUUAUCCACUUCCUUCUCAAGGUCCUUUAUCUUCAAUUUCAACUCAUCUUCUAGAUUCUUUGUUAGCUGCAUAUGUUCCUUGCUUAAUUGUUGUAAAUGGUCCUCCAUUUGUCUGAUCUGUAAAUCACGAGAACGAACCUCGGCCACGAGAUUGUUUACUGUUGCAGUAACACAAUCUUUGUCUUUCAUAAGCAUAUCAUAUUUCAAUUUCAUUUUGUCAAGGUUCUUAUUCAAAGCUUCUAUCUGUAUACCUUUCUCAUUAAGUUCUGUCUUCAAUUGAUUGAUCUGACCUUGUAAGUUGGUUUCUUGUACAGCAAGCAAGCUUUCGAUAACUGGUAAUGGCGACAGACAAUCAAUGUGAAUAGCCAACUCACAAGGUGAACAACCAUACAAAUAUCCUCUUCCUUGAGUUACUUGGCAUAUUUUGCAAGCACGCCGUUCACUAUUAAAUUGCAAAACAAGAGGAUGUUUGCGAUGACACGAAUGAUCCAUUUUGAGAGGAAGCUCAGCACACCUCUUAUGCAAUUUAAACCCACAAUCAAGAAAGAAGUAUGUAUACAUUGCUAAUGGUUCCCAGCACACAAAACACUUACCCAGGUUUCCACCAUCGUUUUUAGAGGAAAACGAUGGAUCCUCAAGGGCCACAUGCUCAAGCUCUUUCAAAUUUCUUUCAGCAAUAUUAAAUGUAAACAAAGCACAUUUAAUAUGAAAGUCCAAGCCACAAGAGCAAUGGUAAAUGAAUUUCUCACAUGCUUCGUUACAGAAAUCGCAAACGCACCUUGUGUAAGGAGUGUAAGGUGGAUUCUGCAGAAGCAGGAGAGGAUGGUGGCGAUGAAAAGGAUGAUUAAGCUCCAAAGGUGCCUCGGCACAUUUCUUGUGGAGGUAAAACCCACAGCACUCCACACAGCCAAAACAUGGAGCUGACACCUUCUCCCCACACCUUGAGCAAUCAACAACUCCAUUGCCAUUGCCAAGCAACUGCUCUUCAUUUAACAUCAACAGUGGAUGUUGAUGCCCAUAGUUCUUUAGCUCUUCCAUUUCUCCUUCCUCUCUGUCUCUUUCGAUGUGGUAGAGAAAGAAAAAUUGAAAUUGAAUAACUCAAAGAAAGCAGAAAAUUAGAAGGGGGAGAUUCCAAAUGUUAAUUGGUAGGAGUCUCUUUGAACUUGCUAUGGUACUUUGCUUCAACGGUGGGUUGCCUUUACCUAUAUAUGUUUCUUCUUUAUAAUUACUGUGAAUGGGAUGCAAUGGGUUUGAGUGUAUGCUAAGUACAUUAUCAAUUUUUUUUCCUUUAUUCUUUGCUUUGUGGAUUAGAUAAUGAAUAUUGAUGGCGAAAGUGUUCUGAUAUUGUUUGUGUAAAAAAAUAAGAUAAUAUGAUGAAGGUAUUUUGACUGGUUACGAAUUUUUCAAUUGAGAAUGAUAUCAAACAAUCAAAUUAUUCUAAAAAAAUUGAAUUAAAUCAUUUAUCUAAUCGAAAAUUAAAAACCUAUUUAAUUUAUUCUGGUAUUUAGAAUAGAAAAAUUUGAACAAAGCUAGAUAGAUUAAUUAUACAAUUACCGACCCACCAAUCGGCUCUCUUAGGAAUGAGAAUGAGACAUCUUUAUUAUAGGAAUGAUCCACAUUCACUGUCCUGCAGUACAAACUGAAUCUACAAGCUAACGAUAGAAACAUAAACCAAAAUAUAUAGUACAUUGUUUGAUUAAAAUUGAAAACAUGGUUCAUAUUUGUCCAUUGCAAUGUUCAGAUGUUCAAUAACAUGCAAAAGAUAUAUAUAUAUAUAGUCUAAUGACAGCUUCAAGUUUAUCUAAGCAAAUACGAAUAUAUCACCCAAAACUUCCCACAGAAGCUCAAAUUUAAGUACUAAUAAGUUCAUAAAACAAGUUAAACGAAAGAUUACAUCAAGGGAAAAAGACAAUCCAGACAAGUAACUAUACCGAUACUCAUAUUUAAUCGAACUCAUAAAGCGAUAACCGCUUGUCGUUUGUGCUUGAGGAAUGUCUGAAGCUCUUUAUAACCACUCCUGUAAUGGUCCAGACUGAAUGUAAGCUGUCUUAUUACCUCUCUUUUCUCUUCUGACACAUCUAAGAUCAUGUUCCUUUGCUUAUCCACUUCCUUCUCAAGGUCCUUUAUCUUCAAUUUCAACUCAUCUUCUAGAUUCUUUGUUAGCUGCAUAUGUUCCUUGCUUAAUUGUUGUAAAUGGUCCUCCAUUUGUCUGAUCUGUAAAUCACGAGAACGAACCUCGGCCACGAGAUUGUUUACUGUUGCAGUAACACAAUCUUUGUCUGUCAUAAGCAUAUCAUAUUUCAAUUUCAUUUUGUCAAG